rnacentral:rRNA from 1 species
GUGCCAGCCGCCUUCGGGGAAUUCCAGCUCCAAUAGCGUAUAUUAAAGGUGUUUUGGGUAAAAAGCUCGUAGUUGAACCUUGGGCCUGGCUGGCCGGUCCGCCUCACCGCGUGCACUGGUCCGGCCGGGCCUUUCCCUCUGUGGAACCCCAUACCCUUCACUGGGCGUGGCGGGGAAACAGGACAUUUACUUUGAAAAAAUUAGAGUGCUCCAGGCAGGGCUAUGCUCGAAUACAUUAGCAUGGAAUAAUAAAAAAGGACGCGCGGGUCUAUGUUGUUGGAUUAUAGGACCGCCGUAAUGAUUAAUAGGGACAGGCGGAGGCAUUGUAUUCAACUGCCAGAGGAGAAAUUCUUGGAUCAGUUGAAGACUAACUACUGUGAGAGCGUUUGCCAAGUUUUUUUCAUUAUUCAGGAAACUUAAG